AUCCAACCCACAAACCCAAAGUACAUGACUCACGAACCCCCACACAAAUCCCCGAAAUCGAUUUCCCAAAAUCGAUCACCGAAACUCGUCGGAAAUCUCGAAAAUCACACCAGGACGCCGUCGGGACCCACUAAGUGUCCCGAAACUCACCGACUCGUGCCACGAGUCACCCGCUACCACAAAACACACCGAUUUGGACGUCUUGGCAGCAAACACACGAUUACACAACUAAACAAUUAUCGCCGGAUAAUUAUACGGAUCCGGGUUUCCAGAAGUAUCAAUUUCGAUACCGGAACCCACCAUCGCUCACCCGUCAUCUCCGAACCCACGAUAUGACGAUGGUGACCAGCCGACAAGGCUUAGCGACAACUCACAAGGCAAACAAACAACGUCGGAAGAAAUCCAAACCGAAACGCGUUCCACCGGCGAAUUUCAUCGAAAAACGCACUGAAAUCGCUAUUCGAUUUUCGCGAAAGCUAUCGGACCUU
rnacentral:lncRNA from 1 species